rnacentral:tRNA from 2 species
GGGUGAUUAGCUCAGUUGGUUAGAGCACUUGCGUCACAUGCAAGGGGUCAUAGGUUCGAGUCCUACAUCACCCACCA